CAACAAAGGAUGCACUCUUGACAGCGCUGGCUUACAGUAGCCGUAAACUACAAACUGGAAGAGCACUGGUGUAAUCUCAGCAACACAAAUCAUGUUAGACUGUGACACUGAUGACCCUGACAUUCAGCAACAAAGAACUGUGGAAGAAAGGAGAGAGAGAGGUGGCUGGUAUGCAGGAUGAAGAAAGGCAGCAGGAGAAGGAAAAAUCUGUGGGUCAAAGCAUUUUUAAACAAAAUCUCUAGGUUCACAUCUUCAGACAUUUCAGAUGCAUGCAAGAUGACCAAGAAGAAAAUGAGGCCCCUCUUACCCUGGGCUUCCCAACACCUGUUUGUGGUGAAAGGAUAUAAACAGUGUUGCAAGAUUCCUCAGUGUUAACUCUUGCCUGACAGUUUAAGCUAAUUGGUACAAGGUCAUCCAGUUUUUCCUCUGCCCAACGUCCCCUGCCAUCUCCACAUUUGGUAUCUUCUUUGGUGAGUGACCUCCCAGUUUUGCCAUGUCAUGACCUGGAAGCUCAAUGUGUAUCAUAUUUCACACAUGUUU
rnacentral:lncRNA from 1 species